rnacentral:rRNA from 1 species
AUUGAACGCUGGCGGCAGGCCUCACACAUGCAAGUCGAACGAGUGGCGGACGGGUGAGUAAUGUCUGGGAAACUGCCUGAUGGAGGGGGAUAACUACUGGAAACGGUAGCUAAUACCGCAUACCAUCGGAUGUGCCCAGAUGGGAUUGGCUUGUUGGUGGGGUAACGGCUCACCAAGGCGACGAUCCCUAGCUGGUCUGAGAGGAUGACGAGCCACAGUGUAACGUAGACACGGUCCAGACUCCCACGGGAGGAAGCAGUGGGGAAUAUUGCACAAUGGGCGCAAGCCUGAUGCAGCCAUGCCGCGUGUAUGAAGAAGGCCGUCGGGUUGUAAAGUCAUUUCAGCGGGGAGGCGGUACCCGCAGAAGAAGCACCGGCUAACUCCGUGCCAGCAGCCGCGGUAAUUC